rnacentral:rRNA from 1 species
GAUGAACGCUGGCGGCGUGCCUAAUACAUGCAAGUCGAGCGAACGGACGAGAAGCUUGCUUCUCUGAUGUUAGCGGCGGACGGGUGAGUAACACGCGGAUAACCUACCUAUAAGACUGGGAUAACUUCGGGAAACCGGAGCUAAUACCGGAUAAUAUUUUGAACCGCAUGGUUCAAAAGUGAAAGACGGUCUUGCUGUCACUUAUAGAUGGAUCCGCGCUGCAUUAGCUAGUUGGUAAGGUAACGGCUUACCAAGGCAACGAUGCAUAGCCGACCUGAGAGGGUGAUCGGCCACACUGGAACUGAGACACGGUCCAGACCCCUACGGGAGGCAGCAGUAGGGAAUCUUCCGCAAUGGGCGAAAGCCUGACGGAGCAACGCCGCGUGAGUGAUGAAGGUCUUCGGAUCGUAAAACUCUGUUAUUAGGGAAGAACAUAUGUGUAAGUAACUGUGCACAUCUUGACGGUACCUAAUCAGAAAGCCACGGCUAACUACGUGCCAGCAGCCGCGGUAAUACGUAGGUGGCAAGCGUUAUCCGGAAUUAUUGGGCGUAAAGCGCGCGUAGGCGGUUUUUUAAGUCUGAUGUGAAAGCCCACGGCUCAACCGUGGAGGGUCAUUGGAAACUGGAAAACUUGAGUGCAGAAGAGGAAAGUGGAAUUCCAUGUGUAGCGGUGAAAUGCGCAGAGAUAUGGAGGAACACCAGUGGCGAAGGCGACUUUCUGGUCUGUAACUGACGCUGAUGUGCGAAAGCGUGGGGAUCAAACAGGAUUAGAUACCCUGGUAGUCCACGCCGUAAACGAUGAGUGCUAAGUGUUAGGGGGUUUCCGCCCCUUAGUGCUGCAGCUAACGCAUUAAGCACUCCGCCUGGGGAGUACGACCGCAAGGUUGAAACUCAAAGGAAUUGACGGGGACCCGCACAAGCGGUGGAGCAUGUGGUUUAAUUCGAAGCAACGCGAAGAACCUUACCAAAUCUUGACAUCCUUUGACAACUCUAGAGAUAGAGCCUUCCCCUUCGGGGGGGCAAAGUGACAGGUGGUGCAUGGUUGUCGUCAGCUCGUGUCGUGAGAUGUUGGGUUAAGUCCCGCAACGAGCGCAACCCUUAAGCUUAGUUGCCAUCAUUAAGUUGGGCACUCUAAGUUGACUGCCGGUGACAAACCGGAGGAAGGUGGGGAUGACGUCAAAUCAUCAUGCCCCUUAUGAUUUGGGCUACACACGUGCUACAAUGGACAAUACAAAGGGCAGCGAAACCGCGAGGUCAAGCAAAUCCCAUAAAGUUGUUCUCAGUUCGGAUUGUAGUCUGCAACUCGACUACAUGAAGCUGGAAUCGCUAGUAAUCGUAGAUCAGCAUGCUACGGUGAAUACGUUCCCGGGUCU